rnacentral:misc_RNA from 1 species
UUUCCGUAGGUGAACCUGCGGAAGGAUCAGUAGAGAACGCCGGCGCAAGCCGGUUCUACCCACACACACCCGUGAACCGUGGAGCAGCGAACGUGCCCUCGUGGUAUCCAAUAGCGUCCGAACCUGGAGCAGCGAACGUGCCCGGCCUCGCGGCCGGGUACCUAAUAGCGUCCGCCCUUACAAAACGUCUAGAAAUGUAACGAACGUAGUCUUAUUUUAACAAAUAAAACUUUCAACAACGGAUCUCUUGGUUCUGGCAUCGAUGAAGAACGCAGC